rfam:Arabidopsis lyrata subsp. lyrata unplaced genomic scaffold ARALYscaffold_1, whole genome shotgun sequence.
GUUAUUGUGUCGAUCAAUGCAUUGAAAGUGACUACAUCGGGGUUUUGUUUUUUUGUUGCUCCCACGAUCGAAUCGAUAUGAGGAAGAUGAAAAAUUAAUCAACCCCGGUUUAGUCACUUUCACUGCAUUAAUCAAUGCAUU